rnacentral:rRNA from 1 species
CCUACGGGUGGCAGCAGUGAGGAAUAUUGGUCAAUGGGCGCGAGCCUGAACCAGCCAAGUAGCGUGAAGGAUGACUGCCCUACGGGUUGUAAACUUCUUUUAUAAAGGAAUAAAGUGAGGCACGUGUGCCUUUUUGUAUGUACUUUAUGAAUAAGGAUCGGCUAACUCCGUGCCAGCAGCCGCGGUAAUACGGAGGAUCCGAGCGUUAUCCGGAUUUAUUGGGUUUAAAGGGUGCGUAGGGGGGUGGUUAAGUCAGGUGUGAAAGUAUGCGGCUCAACCGUAGAAGUGCAAUUGAUACUGGCAGCCUUGAGUACAGUUGAGGUAGGCGGAAUGCGUGGUGUAGCGGUGAAAUGCUUAGAUAGCACGAAGAACUCCGAUUGCGAAGACAGCCUACUAAACUGCCACUGACAUUGAUGCUCGAAAGUGUGGGUAUCAAACAGGAUUAGAUACCCUGGUAGUC